GUAGGUGGCAAGCGUUGUCCGGAAUUAUUGGGCGUAAAGCGCGCGCAGGCGGUCCUUUAGGUCUGAUGUGAAAGCCCACGGCUCAACCGUGGAGGGUCAUUGGAAACUGGGGGACUUGAGUACAGAAGAGAAAGCGGAAUUCCAAGUGUAGCGGUGAAAUGCGUAGAGAUUUGGAGGAACACCAGUGGCGAAGGCGGCUCUCUGGUCUGUAACUGACGCUGAGGCGCGAAAGCGUGGGGAGCAAACAGGGAUUAGAUACCUGGUAGUCCACGCCUUAAACGAUGAGUGCUAAGUGUUAGGGGGUUUCCGCCCCCUUAGUGCUGCAGCUAACGCAUUAAGCACUCCGCCUGGGGAUACGGCCGCAAGGCUG
rnacentral:rRNA from 1 species